rnacentral:rRNA from 1 species
CCCGGUUAAAGCGAAUGAUUAGAGGCCUUGGGGCCGAAACGAACCGUCAAACCUAUUACUCAAACGUUUAAAUAGGUGAGAAGUCAGGCUUGCUUGAUCGAAGCUCUGACAAUGGAUGGUGAGUGCCAAGUGGGCCACUCUUGGUAAGCAGGACUGGCGCUGUGGGAUGGAACCAAACGACUGAGUUAAGGCGCCCGAAUCGACGCUCAUCAGAUCCCAUAAAAGGCGUUGGUUGCUUAAGACAGCAGGACGGUGGCCAUGGAAGUCGGAAUCCGCUAAGGAGUGUGUAACAACUCACCUGCCGAAGCAACUAGCCCUGAAAAUGGAUGGCGCUGAAGCGUCGUGCCCAUACUCAGCCGUUGAGUCACAGAGGCAUUAAAUUGUCCGCGAGGACUCAACGAGUAGGAGGGUCGUGGCGGUGUGCGUAGAAGGGUUUGGGCGUGGGCCUGCCUGGAGCCGCCGUCAGUGCAGAUCUUGGUGGUAGUAGCAAAUACCUUGGAGAGGCCCCGAAGGAC